GAUGAACGCUGGCGGCGUGCCUAAUACACGCAAGUCGAGCGAACUGAUUAGAAGCUUGCUUCUAUGACGUUAGCGGCGGACAGGUGAGUAACACGUGGGCAACCUGCCUGUAAGACUGGGAUAACUUCGGGAAACCGAAGCUAAUACCGGAUAGGAUCUUCUCCUUCAUGGGAGAUGAUUGAAAGAUGGUUUCGGCUAUCACUUACAGAUGGGCCCGCGGUGCAUUAGCUAGUUGGUGAGGUAACGGCUACCCAAGGCAACGAUGCAUAGCCGCCCUGAGAGGGUAAUCACCCACACGGGGACUGAGACACGUCCCAGACUCCUACGGGAGGCAGCAGUAGGGAAUCUUCCGCAAUGGACGAAAGUCUGACGGAGCAACGCCGCGUGAGUGAUGAAGGCUUUCGGGUCGUAAAACUCUGUUGUUAGGGAAGAACAAGUACAAGAGUAACUGCUUGUACCUUGACGGUACCUAACCAGAAAGCCACGGCUAACUACGUGCCAGCCGCCGCAGUAAGAC
rnacentral:rRNA from 1 species